AGCAGAAGCAAACCUCCUCUCCGCUCAUUGCUGGUGGUUCAGACUCCGAUGUAGAUCGAUCCAGUGCCACCCUCCUCGGUUAUUUUGCUUGGUGGUACGUGGAUCUGCUCGUGUAUUAGUAAAUCAUGUUGUUGACGCAGCAGGAGCGCUUGGUGCCACGUCCACUUCAUCUGAUUAUGUGAAUAUAGUGGUUGACAUGCUCGGUUCAUCCUCAUCGGCGUCUAAACCUGAGGCUCCUAACUUUCUCAAAUGUUCUCCAGUUAUUCCCCCCUCUCCUUCAGAUGUGAUUAAUUUGGCAUGGGUACGCGUACAAUCGGAAUGAGUAAGGUGGGCUUCGUGUUGCUUUCUCUUAUCUCAUGGCUGCCUCUUGUGUGCAGGUUAAUUAAUUAUUUUGGUGCUCGAUUAGUCGCCAUUGUCGGAUGAUACUUUAGGAAAGCUGAUGUUUAUCUACACAAGGGACUUGAUAUAUUGCGUACUCGGAUGCAACAUUUACUGGGCCAUCAAAAAGGAGGGGGGCUGGAUCCCAAGGGGCCGAGUUGUAGUCCUCCAGAGUUGUUAAGCUCCUCUUGCUCUUCCACCCCUCUUCUCCGAGGAUCUAUAAUUUUGUGCACGCUACUGAUUUUGGAGACUUUUAGAGUAUUGAGCUACAUCACUAGCGAACGAGCUUGCAAAAUUUUCCAGUAUGCUGCACCUGUGAUUAGAGGUUCAGGCCGUACCAGUUUUUGGGUCUUUAUAUUGGUGAUUUCGUUCUGUUAGGAGGUCACUACCGAAGGAGUAAAUUACUAGCAAAGGAGCAGUUGAUGUAUGAACAUCAUUGGGUUCAAGGAGUAAAUUAUUAUGGUUUGGCUGAAAUGUCAGUUCAUUACUAUUACAUGAAAUCUAGAACCUAUGCUAAUGUGUCCAAUCUAGACAAGGAGGACAGAUAUUUAUUGGGGGGCCUGAUUCUUAUGUAGUUUCUCUCUAUUGCAGAACUCCCUACUCUCAUUUGGUGCACCCCAGUAUGUAGUGUCAAUGAUUUCAAUGUCCCCAGGAAUCUCAAACCGUAUGUACAGUCAAUGAUUGCAAUGCCUCUAGGGAUAUCCCAAGAAAUAUUUCUUAGUUCCAAGUUCUGAAUAUGCAUCAAUCCAGCAUCUAUUUUUGACCCUGUAGAUGAAUUUAUCCAUGGAUGUUUAUGCCCGGAAGGAGGAGGCAUACCAAUGAUAGUUUGAAUCAAACUAAUAGAGGACGCCACCAUCGAUUAUGGUGUCGAGCGACUAAAAUGUAAUGAACUGGUAGUGCGACUGUUGACCUCCUUGAAACUAAUCACGUUCUUCGCUCCCGAACUCACGCAGUAGACAAGGAACUCUUCUUUUAUAACUGCAGACAAGUAUGACUCCAUACCCUUAAAUUCCCUGCACAAUUCUCAGGGUCGUUGAAUACAUAAUGUGACCCCACAUAAAUGGUUAGGAACUAGCUAAAUUUUAUUUAUCUUCGAUUCCCUACCAAAAUAUUCCUACUGCAUAUGUUAGGAAGGAUCUAUAAGAGUUGCUGCUAUGUAUCUGUUGUUGAAACCUCCAAUGUAGUUAAUCUCCGGCUCUUAUCAUCUUUCUUUGUUCAAGCCCUUGAGAGAAUGCUUUUAAAUUUAUGAACUGAAUAUAAUUCAAGAUUUAGUGAAAAUGCACAGUGAUCUUUACAACUUAUCUAUUUCUUUUUUCUGUGAGACUUCUUCGAAGAUAAUAAUUUGCCCAAAAAUAAUGUUCAGUAGUCAUGUUCCCCUUUUAAUCACUGUACUUUAGUAAUCUUGAUAUCUACAAAAUCUUUGAAACCUGACACCACUCAUGUAAUUGGCCAUUAUUUUUCUGUCUUAAAGUCCCAUGUCUUGUCGCUAAUUGCAGCAUUGUUUUUCACCAGUGUGUCAUAGAUUCAGUUCUGCAUGAUGUGCUUGGUAUAGGAGAAAAUCAGUCUGCCAAUAUUAUUUUCCUGCUAUUUGAUAUACACAUGUUUACAUAAACUGUACCAAUUGUUAUCCAGCAAGCUUUGAAAGUCAACACAAAGAAUCUGCACCCUAGGAUAAUUGUAAGGAAGGUGUGACCAAAACCACAUCUACCUUUUCUAAUGUUAUUAUCCUAGGUGCUCCGCAGGACACGCACAGCCGCCACCACACCGCAGAGACGGACGAGGAUGUGAUGCUGCUCCUUCUUGUGGUGUAUGCGUCGGCGUGGCUUGCGGUAGUGAGGCAUAUCCUCGUGGGCAAUGCUAUUUGAAGACCAUUCAAGUGAUUUAAAAGAGAAGAUGUCCAGAAUGUAACGAGGUUGAAGAUGACGAUCAAAAGAUUGACGUAUUAAGCGACUGUCAAGAUGCCAAUAAUGCUUGCCCCCUGCCAUUAUUAAUCGUGAGAGCCCUAUUUACAUGGAUGACUCAGCGGCUGGCCUGUACAGAGUUGCGUGGCAGGCAUGUGUUCCCAGCCACCUUAUCAAUUGUAGGCUUAGAAUGAUUUGGUUCGUCCCAAGUGUUGUUCGUCGACAAUUACUUUGUAUGUCCAUGUCGAUUCUGAAUUUAGAGGACACAUAUGUUUUGGUAGGAAGUGUAUUGUUCUUCUAUUUUUUUUCCUGGUGUAUACUGACUCGUGCAGAUUAUGAAAUCCCUAUUUAAUGGAUC